UUGGACGGUCAUAGCAGCGUGGUUACACCCGAUCCCAUAUUUUGGUUUGAACCGAAAGGGAAGUUCGAACUCGGAAUGGACUCAGAUAACUGGUCCACGAGAGAGUUAAGCACGCUCACGUUCUGGGCUGUACUGCACUUUGUGUGGGAAACCCAGAAAGCUGUCCACC
rnacentral:rRNA from 1 species